GUGAUGUGACUGAAAAAGAAUGCAGCUACUAUAUGUGGAGGCAGAAGUUCCCUGUCAGGCAGGAAAAUCAAGUAGAAAGAAGACUUGAAGUGGAGGAGUGGGUUAUUACGCUGGCAUUUCCACUUGGACAGCGACUGAAUAGGGGGAUGAGCUCUCCUGGAGUCUAUGCAUUUCUUCCCACGGAGAUGGUUACAAAUUUUCCCUUCAUUAUUCAGGCAGAUUUUGUUCUUGCAUCAUCCAGGGAAACAAUCCUCUUGGACAACAAAUGGAACCAAGGCAUUCUCGAUUGUGUGCCUUCUGCUUUUCUUAAUGCCCUUAUUUCACUGGUUACAACAUCAGAAGAUGUUCCAGUUUCUACACUGACCCCAAUGUUUAAGUUCUUACCUAUUGACAGCUCUUCUUAUCCAAAGCUCAAUGUCGUGAGGGAGUCUAUCAAAGCAAAACUGCUCAAGGAGAAUAUCAUACCAUGUGAGUCGUAUUCAGACCAGAAGAUCUUUCGUAAACCUUGUGAAGUGGGUAGGUUAAUGCCUUCUUUCUGGAAUAUCCUCAAAAAGGCAAGGAAUCAAGGGGUAAGCUUGGAUUCUCUGUCAUCCCAUGGAAGCUAUAUCCUGAAUUCUUCAUUUGAUACAGAGGAGUACGAUCACAUAUUGAAUUUCCUUGGUGUGAAACCUGUCAAUAGCGAAUGGUAUGCCACGUGUAUCAGGAGUUCCAAUCUUCUCUUGGGAGUGACAGAGGAUGAUUAUUUGGAACUUCUACUCUUUAUUGCUGAGAAAUGGAGUUCCUCUUUCCACAGCACGGACAUGAGGAAUGUUCCUCUCCUGAAAUAUGUUGGUCCUGAUGGAAAUGUUGUUUUGUGCCCUACAAGCAAUGUCUCAAUGUGGAAUGGUGGAAGUAUGAUUUGUAUGUCCCGUGAGUCUCAGCAUAUUUCAUGGUUGAUAGACUGGAACAGGGAAUUUAGACGUGUGACAGAUCGAUAUUUUAUGCCCAAAAGCACACAAGAAGCUAUCAAAGUUUUUUCUAAGAGAGAGACUCUGUUGGAAUGGCUUCAAAAUCAAGUGAAGGUUCGCGUUGUCAGUGUGUACGACUUUGCUGUCAUUCUUUAUAAUUCUUUUAAGGGUGACCGACAGCUUGCUAUUGCCUAUGUUCACUUCCUUUAUCAUUCCCUCUCGAAGAGUUAUCUACCAAAGGGGGAUGUUGACAAUUUGUGUCGUAUCAUGCCACUUGUAGAUAACUAUGGGCAUGUGAGCACUCAGAGAAAAGGUGUUCUCGUUCCUGCUAACGGAAGCAAAUGGGUGGGAUUAAUGGGUGCAAAUCCGUGGAGGGGAGCAGGCUAUGUUGAGCUGGGAGAAGACUAUUUGCGCUCGGGCAGUUAUGCAGGUUCAUUCACACCAGAGAUGCAGCUAAUGACGUUUCUCAAAACUCAUGUUGCAGCUUCUGAUAUACCUGAUAUAUCUCCUCCCGACGCCGAGUUAUCUGCCGCAUAUGCACCACUCACCAAGCAAAAUGCAUUCUUGCUGUUGGACUGGAUUCACAACCUGAAAUAUAAGCAAGGUCUGCCAGCUAAGUUCCUGACAUCCAUUAAGAUGGGAAGCUGGCUCAAAAUUUCCCUCAGUGGCAGUCCUGGAUAUAGGCCACCAUCACAGUCUUUCCUGCUUGCUUCAUCAGAUGAAAAUCUUCUGCAGGAUGAGUCAGUAAUGGUUGAUAUUCCAUUGAUUGACCAAGGAUUUUAUGGAAAUGGCAUCAAUAAUUAUAAGGAGGAGCUCAAAACUGUUGGAGUAAAGUUUGAAUAUGGCGAAGCGUGUGAGUUUAUAGGGAGGCACCUCAUGUCUCUUGCAGCUUCCUCUGCAUUGACUAAAUCCAAUGUGUUUCAAAUACUUAAGUUCAUCAGAUUUUUGAGACUUAGAUGUCUUCCGGCUGAUAAAUUCAUCCAGAGCAUCAAAGAUGGAAGGUGGUUGAAGACUUCCUGUGGUCACAGGUCUCCAGUUGGAUCUGUUUUAUUUGACCAGGAAUGGGAAGCUGCAUCACAAAUAAGUGACAUCCCCUUCAUUGACCAAGAUCACUAUGGCAAGGAAAUCCUUGGUUUCAAAAUGGAACUCCAAUUGCUUGGUGUGCUGGUUGGCUUUAACAAAAAUUACCAGCUUGUUACCGAUCACUUCAAGUCUCAAGCAUGCUCAAAUUGUCCAACAGCCAAGUCUAUUCUUUUGAUAUUUGAAUGCAUGUGGGAUUGCGAGCGCAAUUCAAGAUCAGCCCAUGAGCUUGUGCAUGCGCUUAAAGGUAAUAAAUGCUUGAAGACGAACAUGGGCUACAAGUUUCCUAGUGAAUGUUUCCUGUUUAAUACUGAGUGGGAUUCGCUUCUGAAAGUCUUCCAUAAUGAUUUUCCACUUAUUGAUGAAAACUUCUAUGGAACCAGCAUCUUGUCUUACGAAAAAGAGUUGAGGCAAGCAGGUGUAGUGGUGGAUUUUGAAGCAGCGACCCAGAAAUUUUUAGCUGUUUUCAAGAAGCAUGCAUCCUCGUCUUCUAUUGGAAGAGAACAUGUUCUGUCUUUUCUCAGGUCUUACGGACAGAUUAAUAAGACAAACAAGAAGUUUCCUUCAGAUUUUAAGCACAACAUUUGUGAGGCAAAAUGGCUGCAAACACGGCUUGGUGUUCCUAGAUCACCAAGAGAGUGCAUUCUUUUUGGCCCAGAAUGGGAACCUGUAAGUUCAAUUACUGUGCUUCCUUUCAUUGAUGAUAGUGACAAGUACUAUGGCAAGAGAAUUCAUGAAUAUAGUAAAGAGCUGAGGAGCCUGGGUGUUACCAUCAAGUAUAAAGAUGGGGUGAGGUUUGUGGCUGCAGGUGUCUACUUUCCCCAAGAUCCCAGCACCAUAACUCCUGAAAGUGUGUUCUCUCUGCUGCAGUGCAUCCAGAUAUUAAUGAAAGAUGGUUAUACUUUGACUGAUGCUUUCCGGUCAAAGGUUUCUCAAAGUUGGUUAAAAACCAAUGCUGGGUAUAGGUCUCCAGGCCAAUGUUUGUUGUUUGGCUCUGAGUGGGGUUCUUUCUUACAGAGGAACGAUGGACCUUUCAUUGAUGAAGAAUUCUAUGGCCCCAACAUUACAGCCUACAAGAACGAGCUCAGAGAAAUUGGAGUGACCGUUGAUUUGUUAAAUGGGUGCUCUUUGCUUGCUGGCUAUCUUGAUUUUCAUUCUGAAUUUUCAACCAUUGUUCGAGUCUAUAAUUACUUGAAUGAACACGGCUGGUCGCCUUCCAAUGAUACUCCUAGAAGGAUCUGGAUCCCUAAUGGGAGUGACAGUGGAGAGUGGGUUAGUCCUGAAAAAUGUGUUAUUCAUGACAAGGAUGGUCUCUUCAGUUCACAGCUGAAUGUUUUAGAGAAACACUAUAAGCCGGAAUUAUUCAGCCUUUUCUGCAGAGUCAUGCAAGUUAAAUCCAAUCCUUCUAUUGAUGACUACUGCGAACUUUGGAAUAACUGGGAAAAUUCAAGGGAGCAACUGUCACGUUCGGAGUGUUGUGCUUUCUGGGCCCAUGUUUCAAAGCACUGGAGUAAAAACACACAGAAAACUCUUGCCGACAGCUUGUCAAAACUGCCAGUUGAAUCAGGAUCGGAGAGAAUAAUGCUGUUUGACAAACGUGAUGUUUUCAUUGCAGAUGACCUCCAGCUGAAGUAUCUUUUCCAACAAUCUUCGCCUCACUCAAUUUUUGUGUGGUAUCCCCAGCCAAGCAUCCCUUCCUUGCCCCGGACUAAGCUGCUUGACAUCUACAGGGAAAUUGGUGUUCGUUCUAUCUCUAAAUCUGUACAGAAGGAAGAAAUCUCCAAGUUGGAGGCCAGUGAACUCAAGCAAGUGUCUCAGAAGGAAACUUUGAUCGGAAAAGGCCUGCUGAAACUCAUUCUUGGCUUUCUCGCUGGUCCUUCUAUUGAAAUGGAAGCAGGACAAAGGCUGGAAGCUGUCAAAGGCCUUCUCAAUCUUAAGGUGUUUGAGACGGAGGGGCAAACUGCAGCAAGCUACAGAUUGUCAAUGUCUUCUGGGGAAACCAUGGACGUUGAUGCAAGAGGAAUGAUGCGCUGGGACCGGGAGGAUUCCAAGCUUUUCAUGCAGAAGAUGGAUAUAUCGGGUGGACAUAAAAAUAAAAUCGAAUAUGCUACAAUCUUCGCUGAAGUAAUAUCAGAGGGCGUCUUACAGGAGAAAGAAGACCAUAUAUCUGAUCUCGCCGAACUGAUCAAGUUGGCAUUCUUCCUGGAUUUUGAUGAGGAAGCAGUUGGGUUCUUGAUGAGAUCCAAGAAUCUCCAAGUUUUCUUGGAGGACGAGGAGCUUCUCUCUUCAGCCCUUUCUCUCGACUAGGUAUGCAUUCUAUGCCAUGACCAAUAAAUAGUUGAAAGUGUCAUUUUCCUUAUAUUUCCCCGUUUGAAGUGUGUACUGGUGUGUGCUAUUAGAAUAUUAUAUAAUGUAUAUGAAUCUGGUGUGAAAUGGCUGAUUUAGGCAGCCUAUAUUGUGAUAAUUAUGCCCUUGUGCUUGCCUUUUUUAUUAAAUCGAUUUAAUAUUAAUUGACAUGCAAGAGACAAAAUUAAAUAUUUAAAAGGAGAUGCAUGUGAAGAUCUAAUCUACUCAUAUGUUUUCAAACACUAAAAGUAAAAAAAAAAUUAUAUUGUAAGAGUUCAACUUUAACAUAUCAAAUUAUAAAAAAAUAAAAAAAUUACAAUAUAUCAUCCUUAAAAUAGAUGGUUGCAAUUUUUUUUUAAUCCUCAUUAAUUAUUUUUUAAAUGACUAUAUUAUUUGCUAUAGAGAAUACUCCAUCUCUAUACCUAAAUUUAACACUUGAAGAAAAAUUUUCUUCGGCUUUGAACCCCGUGAAACUCGGUUGCAUUAGAAGUUACAAAUAAAAAUGAUUUCAUUACUUUAAUAAGAUAAUAUGAGAGUAUUUGAUAUAUAAAAUUAAUAAAUGAACAUAGUCUAAUAUUUAAUUUAAUUUAUUAACCAUAUUAUGGAUUUUUUAAUUAAUUUAUUUAAUGUCAAAAAAUCUUUUUUUAGGUCUAAUAAACCCAAAAAAAAAAAAAAUUAAAACAUGUUAGGUAUUGUUUUGUUUAAUUGUUAUUAGAUUAUUAGAAAACAAUUUGGGAGUAGUUAUUAAUCGUUUUCAAAAACAAAAUUAUAUUUGAUAUUUUAAAAAUAGUUCAUUGAUUUUGUUCUCAAUGAAAGUACCAUAAACUUUAACAUAAAAUAUAAUUUUUUUUCUAAAUGUGUUCUAUAUUUUUAAUUGUUUAUUAAGACAUUUGAAAAUAUGUUAAAUUUAUUUUCAAAAUAAUAUGUUAUCAAAAUAAAUUUUGAAAAACGGUUUUGUUUCAAAAGUCUACCAACUAUUUUCUAGGUUGGAAAAUUGGUUUUAGUUAUACAAUAAUAAUUUCCAUACGGAUGCUUGAGAUAUGGAUUUAGUACCAUAUUAAAUUUAUGUAUUUAAAUAUAAAUCAUUGAAUAAAAAUAUAGCAAAAAAAAAGAUAUUUAAAUGUAAAUAUAUUGGACCACGUUAUAAAAAAAUAAAAAAAACAAGAGAACGAGACUAUUACAAGUAUCGAAGUAUGAAAUUCAAGGUGCCCACAUAAACCUUUUUUAUUGAGCACCAUUCUAUAUAAAGAUUUAUUUGAAAACUUAUUUUGAAAAUAGCUUUGUGUUUAAAUGUCUUUAUAGUUGAGAAACAAUAAAUUCAUAUUUCCUUUUUUUUCAACUUCCAUGCAAUACCUAUAGAGUCACUGUGAUUCUUGCAAAUGAGUUGAACUUGAAUCCCAAAAGUGAAUAAAAAAUUGGAUCUACAUUGAAUUGUCUUGUUGAUCUACGUUAAAUUGCCUCAUCAAUUCUUUUGAGUAAAAACUUGAUCUUAGACUUAAUUCAAACAAAAGGAGUACAUUAUGCUAAUGUAUCUUGAAUGAUCCACAUCUCAAGGUAGUUGGCCCAAUAUAUCGGGAUGAUUGGCUUAAUGAGCAUAGGGGUGGUUGACCCAAUAAGCACAUUGAAGAAUUAAUGUGACUAGUCUUGAUGUUUUUAUAGGGAUGGUAAUGGAUAAGUUUUUUUUGUACCAUCUAUGCCCAUGGGACAAAUUUGAAAGAAAUGUAUAUUGAAUGGGCUUUAUUGUUGUUUUUUCUUAAAAAAAAAAAAAAACUAGAGUCAUCAAAGAAGGUUUUCUUACCAAACCUAAUUAUAUAAAAUUAGAUAAAAAUAAUUUCAUUUCAUUUUCUUUUGACAAAAUUAAAAUUAAAAAUUUUGAAAAAUAAUUUAAAAAUUAAAGGAGAUAUGAGAGAGGUAAGCAUGGGAAAUUGCUAGGGUGCAACUUGGGCGGGUUGGAUUGGGCCAACCCAAACCUAACCCUCUAUUUGGACGGGCUUAGAUAGAUGUUUUUAAUAUUUGGGUUGAACUUGUAUUAAGUUUUCUCAAUAUGAACCCAACCCAAACCGGUUUAAUGUUUUUAUACUUGUAUAAUAAUAUUCAUCUCCUUUUCAAAUUUUAAAAAUAUCAAAUUAUAAAUAUAUCAUAUACUUCUCAUUUAUAUAUAUAUAUAUAUAUAUAUAUAUAUAUAUAUAUAAGUUUAUUUUUAUUAUAAAAUAUGAAAUUUUGUACCACUAUGGUAACUUAUGGAUGAUCAUCCAUAAAUAUAUUUUAUAACUCUUUAUAAAAGGAAGAGACUUCUAAUGAAAUUUAAUAGAGUUUUCUAAUACAUUCUAUUAUCUCUUUCUUGAUUUCUUCUUCUCUCAUUUUGUUUUAUAAUAAUUUUUACUUUUUUAUUGUUAUCUUGAAAUUUUGUCUUAUUUUUUAUAUAAAUAUAUAUAAUUUAAAAAAAAAACCAUUAUGAAUAAAUUUUAAAUUAUGCAACCCAACCAAUUCCACUCUUGUCCAAUCAACUUGAGUUUAAUUCUAUUAACCCAAUUUUAAUCCAAGUUUAAAAAAACAAGAUUGAGCACUUCAAGUUAGAAAUCGGAUUAAAUUGAGUUUGGGUUAAUCAUUUCUUAAUUUAAAUUAAACUCAAGUUAACUUUCAACCUAUUCAAGUUGUAACCUUAGAAAUUCUAUACCUAUCUCAAUCUACCAUUUUUUAGUUAAAACUUUUUUUAGGAUGGAAAUAUGAGUAAUUUUAAAUAAUAUAAGUACCCAUCCUCAUCCAUUGAGUUGCUAUCCCUAGUGUUUUUAUAGGAUUGCCACCCUCUAUUUUGAGUAUUUUUAGAAGAUUGUCGGUCUCGUUAUUAGCUCAUAUUUAUAGUUUAAUCCUCUUGGAGACUCCCGUUCUACUUGUACAGUCACUUAUAUGUUUUUUUAUCCAUCUCCCUUUGGAAAAUGAGAGGAAAAGACAAUGCAAGAACUCUAUGGUCCAUAAAGACUCGGCGUGGAGGAAUGGUGACGUCACUUUCUAGUACAAUGGGCCAAACUUUUUUCUCAUUUUCCACUAGGUGGGUGCCUUUUAAAAUCUUUAAAUUUUUAUUUUUUAUUUUUGUUCAUUCUUUAUUAAUUCCUUCUCCACUUUCUAAUUCCUUCGCCCGGAGGUUUCCCCUUUGGUUAAAGUUAAUCAUUAAAGGUAAAAAAAGAUUAAAUAAAAUAACAUUUUCAUUAAUAAUCGCAUUAAAGUGAAUCAUCAAAGUUAAUAUGAUUAAAUAAUAUAAUAUUUUGACUAAUAAUUAAGGAUUUAAUUAAAAAUUAUUCUUGAAAUUAGUUUUAUAUCACUUCUUAAUUGUUUUUAGAAAUAGAAUUACAUUUGAUAUUUGAAAAAUAGUUUUUUUUUUUAUCUUAUUUUUCAUUAAAGUAUUAUUAGCAUAAAAGUUUUUAAAAUAUUACUUAUAUUUUCAAUUAUUACUCAAAACACUUUAAAAGUAAUAAACGAAAAUAUCUUAAAUUUGUUCUCAAAACAAUUCAUCUUUAAAAUAAUUUUUCAAAAAACUAUUUUUUUUUUCAAAAGUCUAUUAAAAUUGUUUUCUAAGUUAGAAAAUUGCUUUCAAUUAUAAAAAUAGAGGUUGUUCAAAAAUGUUUUUGAAAACAAUAUUAAAAAAUAUUUGUAUGAUAAUUUCUAAAACAAAAUUUUGUUUAUAAAUUUGAAAUGUUUUAAUUUAUUUUGUGUAUUUAAAUAUUCCUUAAAAAUAUUUUUUUUAUAUGUAUUGAUUGUUAUUUAAAAAAGUUUUAAAAAACAAGAAAAACCAUUAUAUAUUCUAAAGAAAAUAAAUCAUAUUUUUAUAAUAAUUCUCAAAAACCUAUUUUGGGAUAACCAAUAAAAAAACAAAUUUUGAUUUUUUUUUUUUUGUUAAAAUAGCUCAAAAAUAUAACCUAAAAGGUUGUUUUCAAAAAUAGUUUUAAAAUAUAUCCUUAGCAUAUGGAUUUGGUAUCAUAUCAAAACUCAAAAUAUGAAUCUUUAUGUGUAUGAUUAAAAAUAUAUCACUAAGUAAAAAUAUAAAAAAAAAUGAAAUAUUUAUAUAAAUAUAUAGGACCAAAUUAUCAGGGAAAAAAAACAUUAAAAGUAUAAACAAAUGAAAUUUGUAGUUUUUGUAUAAACAUUUUAGCCUAAGUAGUGUUAUAUAUAUAUAUAUAUAUAUAUAUAUAUAUAUAUAUAUAUAUAUAUAUAUAAAGGCUUAUUUGGUAAUGGCUAAUAAUAAGUUCUAUUUGGAAAACAUUUAUUUAUUUACAAAAAAACAGAUUUGAUCAAUUUUUAUUAUUAUUGAAUAUAUAUAUAUAUAUAUAUAAUAACAAAUUUGAGUUGUUUUAGAAAAACAAUUGAAAAUAUGAUAUUUAAAAAAAUUUUACAUUAUGUAUUAUGUACAGGUGUAUAAUACAUGGAAUAAGCUUUCCAAAUUAAAUUCUUUAAGAAAAUUUUGUUUGUAAAAUAAAUUGAGAAGUAUUUUAUGUAAUAAGAGUUUUUUUUAAAAAAACUCUGUAAAAAUUUAUAUUUAGGAAAAUUGCUAAGUUAUCAAAUAGUUAUUAUAUCAACCACUAAAUCUAAAUUAUUGAUCUUCAUAAUUAAAUUUGAAUGAUUGAAUAAAUGUAACAUGAAAUGGGAUCAUAAUGGAAAAUUAGGAAUCAGGUAUAAAAGAAUAAGCUUCUCAAAUGGAAAUUCAUUCAAUUAUAAAUUUCUCCAUUUUUGGAUAUAUUUUUCAAUCACAAUUCUAUAGUUUUUUAUACGAUUUAUCUUUAUUUAAAAAAUAAAAUAAAACAUGCCUUUUUCUUCACUGUAAUUCGUUGAAUCAAAUUUUUAUAAGAUUUAGUAAUUAUUUUAAAUUAGAAAUUUCAAACAAAAAAAUCGGAUAAUAUAAAAUUAGGUAGAAAUAAAUACAAAUAAAUCUAUUUUACACGUGGUCGUUUAUUAUUGGGCAUAUCGAAAAUAAUCAAAAUACACCACUUUUAAAUCUCACUCCCCACAUGCAAGGACGAUUCCAAAUUUCCAACUUCAUGGAACCACACCUCGUAGACCCGAGCAAGUCUCCUCGUCCGUACGUCUCGCCCCUUUUUUUUCUCUUUCUUUAGUUGAUGUCGAUUCCGUUGAUUGCUUACUUCCUUCACAAGUUUUGCUUCUUUACUAAGUUUCUCACAUUCUAGUCCACACAAAACGACGAUGGAUUGGACAUUCUUUAAAUGCGUCUCUUUUAUAUAUGUAGACACUUCUGUGUGUUGCCAUUCAGUGCCCUUGGCAUCUUUCUACUGAGAGUGAAGACUGAGAGUGCUUUGUGUGAAUCGAGAAGGAGGAGUGGUCGUAAUGGCGACGCCGGAGGAGCAUAUAAAGGAGAUAAGGAGGACGAAGUUCUCGAUUGGAGGAGAGCUGAAUCCGCUGACGGAGGAUCUUCACCAGGCGGUGAAGAAUCUCUCAGCUGAGCUUUACGCUAAGGAUGUUCAUUUCCUCAUGGAACUCAUUCAGGUCUGUGCUUUAUAUGUUUGUCUUGUUGUUUUUAGAGAUGUGAUGAGCACUCUGCGUUGUAUGCAGCCAUUGUUUUGUCAUGUUAUUUAAAAUUUUGAGCGCUUUGAGCGCUGCUCUGUUCCUCUGCUAGAAAACCAAGGAAAAUGACGGUUAUGAGACUUUUGAAUAUUUUGUUUUCUUUAUAUGGUAUUUGUUUCUUGGAGAUGACUAACUAGAGAUUCAUAAUUAUAUGAUAUAUCUUUGAAGUAAAAAUCAACUUAGGAAAGUAUAUGAUAUAUUUAUAAUUUGAUAUUUUUAAAAUUUAAAAAGGAGAUGAAUAUUAUUAUACAAGUAUAAAAACACUAAAUCAGGUUUGGUUUUGGUUCGUAUUGAGAAAACUUUAACACAAGUUCAACCCAAAUAUUAAAUCGGUGCACUAACUUUCUGAAGAAUAUGUUACUUAUCUAUUAUUCUAAUUCGAUCAUUAUGAUCGGAAAGUGAAGUGAUAUGGAUUGAGAAUUAGUUUUGCACUAACUUUUUGAAGAAUAUGUUACUUAUCUAUUAUUCUAAUUCGAUCAUUAUGAUCGGAAAGUGAAGUGAUAUGGAUUGAGAAUUAGUUUUGUUACAUUCAAACUUCGGUUACAUUUUUUUGGUCUUGGAAAAUCUAAAUGUGAAGAAAUCACAUAUUCUAAAUUUUACAUAACAGAAUGCAGAAGAUAAUGACUACCCGGAAGGUGUAAAUCCAUCACUGGAGCUCGUUAUAACUUCACAGGACAUAACUGGCACUGGAGCAUCCGCGACAUUGUUGAUUUUCAACAACGAAAAAGGGUUUUCAGCUAAAAAUAUUGAGUCUAUCUGCAGUGUUGGGAGGUCCACCAAGAAAAACAAUAGGAAGUGUGGCUAUAUUGGAGAGAAAGGUACCUUCAUUUUUUUACUCUUUCGCUCAUAUCUCUCCAUCUUCCAUGCUGUAAAUUUUAAAACGAAACAGAGCAAGCUCUAACUCUCUGUCUGCAAAAAGAAAUUCUUUCUUUUCGAUAAUCCCUAGUCAACGAUAGACUGUCUCCCGAUUGUCUCUGUGAAACAAUCGGAAGACAACAAGGAUUAGAUAAAAUGAGAAAUAGAGGUAUGUGAUAGUAGAAAGUGAUCUAUCUUGGUUCUAUAUUUUUAUGCAUUUCAUUAAUACUGGGAACAAAAGAAACAAGGGGUCUUAUUAUUCUUACAUGUUCAUUAGUAACAUUCCCUUGAUACUUUCCAAGGGUAUCACUCGUAUUUUGCUUAUGCUUAAUGUUUUCUGAUUCUACUAGAAAUCUUAUAAGAACUUGUUUUGUUAUAAGUGGAUUUAUGGGAUUGGUUCUUCAAUGGUCUUGGGUCAGAAUCCUAUUUUGACUCUGCAUCAUCGAUUCCACUAUUAUUAGUGAGCAAUAAUGGAAAAAUUCUUUCAUAUUCAUAGAAAUAAGGGACAUAAUUUACAUGGAUAUAGUAAGUUUCGCUUGGGCUGCUUUAAUGGUAGUCUUUACAUUUUCUCUUUCACUCGUAGUAUGGGGAAGAAGUGGACUUUAGAGGUACUAUUGAUUCAGUUGAGAAUCUUUAACUACAGAUCAAGUAUAUCCUCAAUUCUUAGAACCUCUAGUGUAGAAACACUUUAUUCAUGUCAAAAAGUUAGCUUAAUCAAUUCAGCUAGACACCCCAACUUUGGUCUUUACUAAGUCAACCUUCUCCUUUGCUUAACUUGCUAGCCUAAGAUGUACACGACUUAAAAGCUAAAAUGAAAACUGUGGGCAAGACUUUUGGUCUUUACUAAGUCAACCUUCUCCCUUGCUUAACUUGCUAGCCUAAGAUGCACACGACUUAGAAGUAUUUCUUAUACAACUUGUCGUCUUGCUAAUAUGCAGGAAUUGGGUUCAAGAGUGUAUUUCUAAUCACAGCACAACCUUACAUAUUCAGUAAUGGAUAUCAGAUACGAUUCAAUGAAGAGCCUUGCCCGCACAGCAAUCUUGGGUACAUAGUCCCUGAAUGGGUUCAGUGGAAUCCAACUCUUGAUGACAUAAAGCAAAUAUACGGUUCUCAUGCAGUCCUUCCAACCACUACCAUAAUCUUGCCUCUAAAGCCUGACAAGAUCGGCCCUGUGAAGGAACAGCUCUCAAGUAUUCAACCUGAAGUUCUAUUAUUUCUUUCAAAGAUUAAGCAGUUUUCUGUCAAGAAACAUAAUGAGGAUCCCAGGCUCAAUACGGUGAAUGCUAUAUCUAUUUCAAGUGAAAUUAACUUUGUUAAAAGGAAGAAUAUUGAUGCUGAUUCCUAUAUUCUCCAUCUCUCCACGGAUGGAGCUAAGGAUGUGACUGAAAAAGAAUGCAGCUAUUAUAUGUGGAGGCAGAAGUUCCCUGUCAGGCAGGAAAAUCAAGUAGAAAGAAGACUUGGAGUGGAGGAGUUGGUUAUUACGCUGGCAUUUCCAUUUGGACAGCGACUGAAUAGAGGGAUAAGCUCUCCAGGAGUCUAUGCAUUUCUUCCCACGGAGAUGGUUACAAAUUUUCCUUUCAUUAUUCAGGCAGAUUUUGUUCUUGCAUCAUCCAGGGAAACAAUCCUCUUGGACAACAAAUGGAACCAAGGCAUUCUAGAUUGUGUGCCUUCUGCUUUUCUUAAUGCCUUCAUUUCACUGGUUACAACAUCACAAGAUGUUCCAGUCUCUACACUGACCCCAAUGUUUAAGUUCUUGCCUAUCUACAGCUCUCCUUAUCCAAAGCUCAAUGAUGUGAGGGAGUUGAUCAAAGCAGAACUGCUUAAGAAGAAUAUCGUACCAUGUGAGUCGUAUUCAGACCAGAAGAUCUUUCGUAAACCUUGUGAAGUGGGUAGGUUAAUGCCUUCUUUCUGGAAUAUCCUGAAAAAGGCAAGGAAGCAAGGGGUAAGUUUGCAUUCUCUGUCAUCCCAUGGAAAGUAUAUUCUGAAUUCUUCAUUUGAUACAGAGGAGUACGAUCACAUAUUGAAUUUCCUUGGUGUGGAACCUGUCAAUAGCGAAUGGUAUGCCAAGUGUAUCAAGAGUUCCAAUCUUGUUUUGGGAGUGACAGAGGAUGGUUAUUUGGAGCUUCUACUCUUUAUUGCUGAGAAAUGGAGUUCCUCUUUCUACAGCACCGACAUGAAGAAUGUUCCUCUCCUAAAAUAUGUUGGUCCUGAUGGAAAUGUUGUUUUGUGCGCUACAAGCAAUGUCACAAUGUGGAAUGGUGAAAGUACGAUUUGUAUGUCCCGUGAGUCUCAGCAUAUUUCAUGGUUGAUAGACUGGAACAGGGAAUUUAGACGUGUGACAGAUCGAUAUUUUGUGCCCAAAAGCACACAAGAAGCUAUCAGGUCUUUUUUUAAGAGAGAGACUCUCUUGGAAUGGCUUCAAAAUCAAGUGAAGGUUCGGGCUGUAAGUGUGAAAGACUUUGCAGUCAUUCUUUGUAAUUCUCUUAAGGGUGACCGACAGCUUGCUAUCGCCUAUGUUCACUUCCUUUAUCAUUCCCUCUCGAAGAGUUAUCUACCAAAGGGGGAUGUUGACAAUUUGUGUGGUAUCAUGCCACUUGUAGAUAACUAUGGGCAUGUGAGCACUCAGAGAAAAGGGGUUCUCGUUCCUGCUAACGGAAGCAAAUGGGUGGGAUUAAUGGGUACAAAUCCGUGGAGGGGAGCAGGCUAUGUUGAGCUGGGAGAAGACUAUUUGCGCUCAGGCAGUUAUGCAGGUUUAUUCACAUCAGAGAUGCAACUAAUGACGUUUCUCAAAACUCAUGUUGCAGCUUCUGAUAUACCUCAUAUAUCUCCUCCCGACGCCGAGUUAUCUGCCGCAUAUGCACCACUCACCAAGCAAAAUGCAUUCUUGCUGUUGGACUGGAUUCACAACCUGAAAUAUAAGCAAGGUCUGCCAGCUAAGUUCCUGACAUCCAUUAAGAAGGGAAGCUGGUUCAAAAUUUCCCUCAGUGGCAGUCCUGGAUAUAGGCCACCAUCAGAGUCUUUCCUGCUUGCUUCAUCAGAUGAAAAUCUUCUGCAGGACGAGUCAGUAAUGGUUGAUAUUCCUUUGAUUGACCAAGGAUUUUAUGGAAAUGGCAUCAAUUGUUAUAAGGAGGAGCUCAAAACUGUUGGAGUAAUGUUUGAAUAUGGCGAAGCCUGUGAGUUUAUAGGGAGGCACCUCAUGUCUCUUGCAGCUUCCUCUGCGUUGACUAAAUCCAGUGUGUUUGAAAUACUCAAGUUCAUCAGAUUUUUGAGACUUAGAUUUCUUCCGGCUGAUAAAUUCAUCCAGAGUAUCAUAAAUGGAAGAUGGUUGAAGACUUCCUGUGGUCACAGGUCUCCAGUUGGAUCUGUUUUAUUUGACCAAGAAUGGAAAGCUGCAUCACAAAUCAGUGACAUCCCCUUCAUCGACCAAGAUCACUACGGCAAGGAAAUCCUUCGUUUCAAAAUGGAACUCCAAUUGCUAGGUGUGGUAGUUGGCUUCAACAAAAAUUACCAGCUUGUUACUGAUCACUUAAAGUCUCAAGCAUGCUCAAAUCAUCCAACAGCCGAGGCUAUUCUUUUGAUAUUUGAAUGCAUGCGUGAUUGUGAGCGCAAUUCAAGAUCAGCCCAUAAACUUAUACAGGCGCUUAAAGGUAAUAAAUGCUUGAAGACGAACAUGGGCUACAAGUUUCCUAGUGAAUGUUUCCUGUUUAAUACUGAGUGGGAUUCGCUUCUGAAAGUCUUCCAUAAUGAUUUCCCACUUAUUGAUGAAGACUUCUAUGGGACCAGCAUCUUGUCUUACGAAAAAGAGUCGAGGCAAGCGGGAAUAGUGGUGGAUUUUGAAGCAGCGACUCAGAAAUUUUUAGCUGUUUUCAAGAAGCAUGCAUCCUCGUCUUCCAUUGGAAGAGAACAUGUUCUGUCUUUUCUCAGGUCUUACAGACAGAUUGAUAAGACAAACAAGUUUCCUUCAGAUUUUAAGCGCGACAUCUGUCAGGCAAAAUGGCUGCAAACACGGCUUGGUGUUCCUAGAUCACCGAGAGAGUGCAUUCUUUUUGGCCCGGAGUGGGAACCUGUAAGUUCAAUUACUGUGCUUCCUUUCAUUGAUGAUAGUGACAAGUACUAUGGCAAGAGAAUUCAUGAAUAUAGUAAAGAGCUGAGGAGCCUGGGUGUUACCAUCAAGUAUAAAGAUGGGGUGAGGUUUGUGGCUGCAGGUGUCUACUUUCCCCAAGAUCCCAGCACCAUAACUCCUGAAAGUGUGUUCUCUCUGCUGCAGUGCAUCCAGAUAUUAAUGAAAGAUGGUUAUACUUUGACUGAUGCUUUCCGGAAAAAGGUUUCUCAAAGUUGGUUAAAAACCAAUGCUGGGUAUAGGUCUCCAGGCCAAAGUUUGUUGUUUGGCUCUGAGUGGGGUUCUUUCUUACACAGAAACGAUGGACCUUUCAUUGAUGAAGAAUUCUAUGGCCCCAACAUUACAGCCUACAAGAACGAGCUCGAAGAAAUAGGAGUGACCAUUGAUGUGUUAAAUGGGUGCUCUUUGCUUGCUGGCUAUCUUGAUUUUCAUUCUGAAUUUUCAACCAUUGUUCGAGUCUAUAAUUACUUGAAUAAACACGGCUGGUCGCCUUGCAAUGAUACUCCUAGAAGGAUCUGGAUCCCUAAUGGGAGUGACAGUGGAGAGUGGGUUAGUCCUGAAAAAUGUGUUAUUCACGACAAGGAUGGUCUCUUCAGUUCACGACUGAAUGUUUUAGAGAAACACUAUAAGCCGGAAUUAUUCAGCCUUUUCUGCAGAGUCAUGCAAGUUAAAUCCAAUCCUUCUAUUGAUGACUACUGCGAACUUUGGAAUAACUGGGAAAAUUCAAGGGAGCAAUUGUCACGUUCGGAGUGUUGUGCUUUCUGGGCCCAUGUUUCAAAGCACUGGAGUAAAAACACACAGAAAACCCUUGCCGACAGAUUGUCAAAACUGCCAGUUGAAUCAGGAUCGGAGAGAAUAAUGCUGUUUGACAAACGUGAUGUUUUCAUUGCAGAUGACCUCCAGCUGAAGUAUCUUUUCCAACAAUCUUCGCCUCACUCAAUAUUUGUGUGGUAUCCCCAGCCAAGCAUCCCUUCCUUGCCCCGGACUAAGCUGCUUGACAUCUACAGGGAAAUUGGUGUUCGUUCUAUCUCUAAAUCUGUACAGAAGGAAGAAAUCUCCAAGUUGGAGGCCAGUGAACUCAAGCAAGCGUCUCAGAAGGAAACUUUGAUCGGAAAAGGCCUGCUGAAACUCAUUCUUGGCUUUCUCGCUGGUCCUUCUAUUGAAAUGGAAGCAGGACAAAGGCUGGACGCUGUCAAAGGCCUUCUCAAUCUUAAGGUGUUUGAGACGGAGGAGUCAAUUGCAGCAAGCUAUAGAUUGUCAAUGUCUUCAGGGGAAACCAUGGCCGUUGAUGCAAGACGAAUGAUGCGCUGGGACCGGGAGGAUUCCAAUCUUUUCAUGCAGAAGAUGGAGAUAUCGGGUGGACAUAAAAAUAAAAUCGAAUAUGGUACAAUCUUCGCUGAAGUAAUAUCAGAGGGCGUCUUACAGGAGAAAGAAG
rnacentral:lncRNA from 1 species